rnacentral:rRNA from 1 species
UGCAGAAUCCCGUGAACCAUCGAGUCUUUGAACGCAAGUUGCGCCCGAUGCCAUUAGGUUGAGGGCACGUCUGCCUGGGUGUCACAUAUCGAAGCCUCAUGCCAAUUUCCUUUUUUAGUAGGUAUUGUGCAUGCUGGUGAAUGUUGGCCUCCCGUGAGCUCUAUUGUCUCAUGGUUGGUUGAAAAUCGAGACCUUGGUAGGGUGUGCCAUGAUAGAUGGUGGUUGUGUGACCCACGAGAACCAAGAUCAUGUGCUUCCCUAUUCAAUUUGGCCUCUUUUACCCAUAUGCGUUUUGUGAACGCUCGUGAUGAGACCUCAGGUCAGGCGGGGCUACCCGCUGAAUUUAA